rnacentral:lncRNA from 1 species
CAUGGCAGAUGGAACCCUUCACCCAUCCUCCUUUUUCCUUUUUCUAACCUUUGUCUAACGUCAGAGCUGCCAGCAGUCCCUGUAUAAGCAUGGGUAAAAGAGUAAAGAAUCAUCACUCCUGAUACUGGUGAGCCACUGAACCAACACCGGCCACUGACUACCUCCAGAUUUCUUUUUAUAACUGCCAUUCUUUGAGCUGGAAAAUUGCCUUUUACUUGGGGCAUACAAUAUGUAAUGAUCACAUCAGGGUAAUUGGGGUAUCCAUCACCUCAAGGAUUGAUCAUUUCAUUAGUUGGAAACUAUGCAAACUGUUGGAAAAAACUGGAAUUGACUGGCUGUGUUUGGUUUGGACAACUCAUCGAAAUGAGAGGGAGCCCAGCACGAGUUCUGCUUGAGUGAUGUCUGAAAAUCUGGCCUCUCAGUCUACCUUAAAAGCCUACCUAUUUGGCUUUCACUAGAGUUCAGAUACAUAAAACAAAUAUCUUUGCUUUGGCUUCCCUUGAGUCAUAUCAAUCUACACCUCAUCAAGAAUAUGAAGUUUGGAAGAACAAAGAAGCAAUUGAGCAUCCUAAACUCAACGUAGGGCAAGUAACAUGGACAUUGAUACACCAAGUUCCUUCUUGUUUUUCCUUGAAAGUUGGCUUGAUGAAUGUAUUCUGCAGGGAUUUUAAAGGUGUGGAAAUGAAGCAGACAUCAAGGACUGCUGCAGUUUACUGGGGGUCCACUCCAGACCUUAGUUGCUUCAGUUUUUCCCUGUACCUGGAGGUAUCGUCAGUGAAGCCUGCAAAACAGCAAAGAUGGCAGCCUGCUCCUUCCUCUGGAAGCUCCAUCCCAGGGAUGCACUGACCUGUUGCCAGAAGGAACAUGCCUGUAGGAGGUGGCUGGAGACCCCUGCUGGGAGGUCCCACCCACUCGGGAGGAAUGGGAUCAGGGACCCACCCCAAGAAGCCCUCUGGCUGCCCUUUGGUAGAGUAGGUGCCAGGAGACCCUUCCUUGCCUGGACCAUUUGUAUUUUCCAAAGUUGGCAGGCUGGAAUGGCUGAGUUUACCAAACUGCAGAGAUGACAGCUGCUCUUCCCCUGUGAGCUUCAUUCCAGGGAGAGAUCAGAACUUUGUCUGUAGAACCCUUGCUUGUGUGGCUGAAGCCCCUGCAGGGAGGACUUGCCCAGUGAAGAGGAAUAGAUUGAGGUACCGCUUAAAGAAGCAGUCUGGCCAUGAUCUGGCAAGGCAGCUGUGCUGUGCUGCAGGGAACCUCUCCUUGCUCGAACUUCUUGUAUUCUUCAAAGCUAGCAGGCUGAAACCAAUAAAUUUAAAUUUAAAUAGGUAAAAAUAAGUAAAUAAAGAUAAAGAAAAAUAAAUUGACUGAUUUAUUCUGCCUUCAGGAGCUCUUAGAUGAUGUAGGAAAACAAAUAAUACUGUACAAUCAAAGUCGAAAUUCCUUAAGCAGAGGGUCUUAUGAGAACACAAAGGGAAGGCAACUGGAGCUUUACAGAUGACUUCCUAGACUAGAGAUACCUGAUGUGGGUCUUUAGGGUUAAGUCAUUAAUAGCAAGGCCAAGUAGAGGAAGAGCAUAUCCUACAGAGAAAAAAAGAAUAAGCAAAGGCUGGCUGUUGAGAGAAUUGCAAGUGCUUAGUAUGACUAUAGCGGUAGUCUCAACAGGAGCAGGACAUCCUUAGGGGAUGUUUUGAAAAAUUUUUGUGGAAUUUUCUUGGUCCCAGUAAUUAGUAAGCACUAUUAGCCUUAAAAUGAUAAAGGGCCACUGAGCUAGAUGUUCUGCAAUGGGCAAGACAAUUGCACACAAUGAAAAAUUGUCCCAAGUUCAAGUUUGGACAAGUUAGGGAUGUCCCUCCAGGCAUUUUUGUCAAUGAAAAACCUCUUUGUAACUGUCUUGGCAUAGAGCCUAACUCCAUAUAUACAUAUAACACAAAAUAUUUUUGCACAGUUUUAAUAUACACUAAAUUUUCCAGGGACACAAUUACAUAAAUUAAGGAAAGAUCAUGCUUUGCUGUGUUUGGAACUUAUCAAGAGUCAUUCACCAUUCUAGAAAAUAGCAUCAAAGAUGCAAUAUAGCUCUUGGUGUCUGAGUUGCCAGUUCAGCCAUCUGUGUCAAUCUGUAUUUGUAGAUAUUGCAGUCAAGGUGAUAUUAUUUUUAAGCAAAAGUGUCUGACAACUUUAUUAAGUUCCCCAAUGUAGCUGUGCCAUAGCAUUUUAGAUUAUUUUAAAUUGUAUAUUACUUUCCUUUUAUUUUUCCUCUAAUGAUAGAUACUUAGGGCAUUUUUUUUAAAAACCCAAUGAGAAGACAGGUUAUUUUAUCUAUGAGUUUCAUUUCAGGAUAGUAAAAGUGUAUUACAAAAUGCUGGUUGUAACAACGGGGACAUUAGGUUGCAAAGGACAGAAUGGGCUGGUAUGUCAGUAGCAUCUCUUUCCCCAAAGACCUCAGUUGUGACAUGUGAAACUCUAAUUGCUAUGUGAUGUUUCCAGUUGUAAGGGCCUGAUUAUGGUUUAAUGCUU